rnacentral:tRNA from 1 species
GCGAGUGUAGUUCAAUGGUAGAACGAAAGCUUCCUAAGCUCUAGACGAGGGUUCAAUCUCCUUCACCCGCUCCA